UGUGCAUAGAAUUCCGCUUAUAGGGUCUUUCCCAUUUUUCACAUAACAAUCAACUUUUUUUUCAUUGCCCUUUUGCGCUCCGUAGAAGCCGGAGUUCCCCACCAUUUCGGCGGCAAAUCCUACCUUCGUCGCCACCGCAGUUAGUGUCGCCGCCGCUGGGUCGACCGGAGCUACACCCAACGCCUUUUAGGUCAACCUCUUCUUCACCAAAUUGUUUUUUUGAAGGAUACACACAUUAUGUCGGGUUGUCGUGGCCGUGACAGUACCGGUAGUCGACAACAUGACUCUACUCUUGGCCGUGACAGUACCGGUGGUCGACCGCAUGACUCUACUUGUGGUUCUGAAAGUCAACUGCAUGACUCUGGUCCUGAAGGUCGGCCGUACGGCUCUACUCCUAGUCCUAAAAGUCGACCGCAUGUCUUAACUUUCGGUCCUAUAAGUCGACCGCAUGACUUUACUCAUGGUCCUCAAAGUCGAACGCAUGAAUCUACUCGUGGUCCUGAAAGUCGACCGAAUGAUUCUACUCCUAGUCCUAAAAGUCGACCGCAUGACUCUACUCCUGGUUCUGAAAGUCGACCGUAUGACUCUACUCCUGGUCCUGAAAGUCGACCGCAUGACUCUACUCCUGGUCCUGAAAGUCGACCGCAUGACUCUACUUCUGGUCCUAAAAGUCGACCACAUGACUCUACUCCCGGUCCUAAAAUUCGACCGCAUGACUCUACUCCCGGUCCUAAAAGUCGACCGUAUGACUCUACUCCCGGUCCUAAAAUUCGACCGUAUGACUCUACUCUCGGUCCUCAAAUUCGACCACAUGACUUUACUCUCGGUCCUCAAAGUCGACCGCAUGACUCUACUCGUGGUCCUGAAAGUCGACCGCAUGACUCUACUCCUGGUCCUAAAAGUCGACCGUAUGACUCUACUCCUGGUCCUAAAAAUCGACCGCAUGACUCUACUCCUGGUCCUAAAAGUCGACCAUAUGACUCUACUUCUGGUCCUAAAAGUCGACCGCAUGACUCUACUCAUGGUCCUAAAAAUACUCAUACUCAUAGACGACUGCAUGACUCUACUCAUGAUCCGUGACAAUACUUGUAGUUGGCCUCACGACUCCAAUCCUAAUGUGAGCGACAAGAAUGUACAUGGCUUACUCCGUUGAAUGUUCGUGAUGCCGAGAACUUAGGUCGUGGAUACGUUGGCAACACAACUCGAAUGUCGCAGAAUACAUAUGGCGAUAACAGGCCAUCUCUUGUUGAAGUUUGCAUCCUAUCAGGUACAUCAUCAAAUCAGGCUUAUAUUUGAUCAAUUUUUUGGAUGGAGCGCGACCACAUAUACUAAGCUUCCCCCAACAGUAUUUCAACAGAUAUUUCAUGCUUUUUGGAGAGAUACACUAGUGUCAUAGUUGAAAAGUAGGCAGAGGAUCUAACUCAACAUCCGGAGGGUGAUGUUGACUUGUAGGUGCAAGCAUAAGAAGGGAGAGGCAAAUGCAGACAUAUUUACGGGGUAGGAUGUUCAGAUCGGCACUUCGUUGUCACAUGUACAUCAUCCAAUGAGAACAAACUGACCUCUUCUGACUAUCAGUAGUCACAACAACUAGGGUGAGGAAACCGAACGAAACCGACGAAACCGAACCCGGAAAAACCAAAACUGGAGCAAAACCGAUAGUUAGCGUUUGAAUUUUUUAAAAAUCGAAAAAUCAAGUUUUGUUUUGGUUUUUACCCAGAAACCGACCCAUACUUAAAAUCGACAAACCGCCCCAAAAAACGACCCAUCCAACUCCAAGAAACCUACCCAUACUUGAUUGUGUUUUGGUUGUAAUAAAAUAUUUUGGGCUAGAUUGUAACUUGUAAUAGACUAUUUGGUUGUAAGAUUCAUGUUUUUUGAAGUAUUUAACUUCAAUUUUGUGUUUUUUUAAGUAUUUAACUUCUUGCUUUAUUUCUGGAAAAUAGGUUUUAACCCAGAACCCGUGAGUGUAUGGGUUGAACCCAAGAAACCGAAAAACCGUUCAAACCGAUCUCAGACCCCGAAACAACGAACCAAUCAGAAACCCCCUAUUGGGUUUUAAAACCAAAAACCGACCAU